rnacentral:tRNA from 1 species
GCCGCCUUAGCUCAGUUGGUAGAGCAACACUUUUGUAAAGUGAAGGUCCCCGGUUCAAGUCCGGGAGGCGGCU